rnacentral:lncRNA from 10 species
UCAAAAGUAGUGAAGAUCUAGAUACUCUGGAGGGUGUCUGGGGAGUGGGGGGGUGAGCAGUUAAGCUUGCUAUGAGUUAUACUUCAGUGAAAAGUUUCCUUGGAACAAAUGCAUCUGUAAUUCUCAUUAAUGCUUCUCAGAGCCUUACGGUAGCAAAAAAAAAAUGUCCAGUGUGACAGUGUGUCCAGAAUUGGUGGGUUCUUGGUCUCACUGACUUCUAGAAUGAAGCCGCAGACCCUCGCGGUGAGUGUUACAGUUCUUCAGGUGGCGCGUGUAGGAGUUUGUUCUUUCUGAUGUUCGGAUGUGUUUGGAAUUUCUUCCUUCUGGUGGGUUUGUGGUCUCACUGGCUCAGGAGCGAAGCUGCAGACCUUCGCGCUGAGUGCUACAGCCCUUAAAUCGGUGCGUCUGGAAUUGUUCAUUCCUCCAGGUGGGCUUGCAGUCUUGCUGGCUUCAGGAGUGAAGUUGUAGACCUUCCAGGUCAUGGGUUUUGAAAUCUCACGUUAUUUGACAACACCUUCAAGAGAAGAAGAGUUAUGCCUGACUACUACUGGCAUUGUAGAUGGCAGAAUAUCUCAGGGGUCUCACUGUUGCCCGGGCUGGAGUGCUGUGGCGUGAUCAUGGCUUGUGGCUCACCAGUCUCAAUCUCCUCAGGCUCAGAGAUGAGGUCUUGAACUCCUGGGCUUAAGAAAUCCACCCACCUCAGCCUCCCAAAGUGAUCACAGGCAUGAGCCACCUCUCCUGGCCCUGGGAAUAAAUCUUAACUUUGUCACUACCUUGGUCUACUUCUGACUCUCUUAGAAUAUUAAUUUCUUUUAUGUCAACUAAAGGUAAUAUACCUAUCUAGUAUGUUCCUGGCACACAGCAGAUACCUCACUAUACUUCCCAUUUCCUUCAUUUUAGGAAAAUUCUAAGACUAAAAUUAAGAUUCUUGUUCAACACAGUACCCUCACAGGUGAAGACACUGAAAAAAUAGAGAAGUAAAUAACUGGCACAAAGCAUAUUCACCAAGGAGAUGUCUGCCUCGUGACUGGUAUUCAAUUCUCUUGAUGUGGAAAUUGUUGAUCCCCCCAACAAUCACUUCUUGCUGUCUUGUGAAGCUAAAGCUUAGUCAUAAGAAGAAUCUAUCUUCUUUUGUGGAAAUCUUAUUUCUUAUAAAUUAUUCAGUCUCUCAUUCAGCCUAAUGAAGUAGUUGAAUUUCACAGAAACCGAGUGAGAGGUGAGUGGUUGCUCCAGAACAGCAGAAAAGCUAGUGGCAGUGGCUUGGAACACACCUUUCCUCAACACGAAGCCAAGGGUCAAAUGAAAGAAAAAAUGUGAAUACAUUUAUAUGUCUGGCCAGUGAUUAAAAAAAUGUUGCUCUUUUUAAUAUCUCAUCAACAUCAAUGAUUACAUUCUUUUCUGGUGCAAAUGUAGUAAGUGGUUAAUUUGAAAGUAUAAAAAUGUGUAAGGAAGAAAAAUAACCAAGAGUGAUACCAUUUAAACGAUAUUACUUAGCGCUGGUAUAUUUCUUUCUAUUUUCUUUUCCAUUAAGAUAUUUACCAAGCACAUUUGAAUGUAUAAUUUUAUAUUUUGCCAUUUAUCCUUAACAUUAUAACAGAGGCACACAAGGCGUUUUGCAUCUUGUUUUUUUUCCAUUUAUUGUGAUAUCUUUGACAUCUUGUCACAUUGGCAUAUGUAGACUUACCUCAUUCUUUUUAAUAGCUGUAUGGUAUGAACAUAACACAGUUUUUUUAAUGAACACAAUGUUAUUUCAUAGUCUUCUUUACCAUUGAGAUAUUUACCAAGCAUAUUUAAAUAUUUAAUUUUAUAUUUUUCCAUUUAUCCUUGAC